rnacentral:SRP_RNA from 1 species
GGGCAAGUCUUACACAACCAGCUCCUGUUAAAUUCCCCCAGGGUGGGAACACAGCAAGGGUAGAUAGUUGUAGCGGUGUGAUGUAAGUAGCUUGCCCUUU